CCUAUCAACUUUCGAUGGUAGGAUAGUGGCCUACCAUGGUUUCAACGGGUAACGGGGAAUAAGGGUUCGAUUCCGGAGAGGGAGCCUGAGAAACGGCUACCACAUCCAAGGAAGGCAGCAGGCGCGCAAAUUACCCAAUCCUAAUUCAGGGAGGUAGUGACAAUAAAUAACGAUACAGGGCCCAUUCGGGUCUUGUAAUUGGAAUGAGUACAAUGUAAAUACCUUAACGAGGAACAAUUGGAGGGCAAGUCUGGUGCCAGCAGCCGCGGUAAUUCCAGCUCCAAUAGCGUAUAUUAAAGUUGUUGCAGUUAAAAAGCUCGUAGUUGAACUUUGGGCCCGGUUGGCCGGUCCGAUUUUUUCGUGUACUGGAUUUCCAACGGGGCCUUUCCUUCUGGCUAACCUUGAGUCCUUGUGGCUCUUGGCGAACCAGGACUUUUACUUUGAAAAAAUUAGAGUGUUCAAAGCAGGCGUAUUGCUCGAAUAUAUUAGCAUGGAAUAAUAGAAUAGGACGUUUGGUUCUAUUUUGUUGGUUUCUAGGACCAUCGUAAUGAUUAAUAGGGACGGUCGGGGGCAUCAGUAUUCAAUUGUCAGAGGUGAAAUUCUUGGAUUUAUUGAAGACUAACUACUGCGAAAGCAUUUGCCAAGGACGUUUUCAUUAACCAAGAACGAAAGUUAGGGGAUCGAAGAUGAUCAGAUACCGUCGUAGUCUUAACCAUAAACUAUGC
rnacentral:rRNA from 1 species